rnacentral:rRNA from 1 species
UACGUAGGUGGCAAGCGUUAUCCGGAAUUAUUGGGCGUAAAGGGAGCGUAGGCGGACUUUUAAGUGAGAUGUGAAAUACUCGGGCUCAACUUGAGUGCUGCAUUUCAAACUGGAAGUCUAGAGUGCAGGAGAGGAGAAUGGAAUUCCUAGUGUAGCGGUGAAAUGCGUAGAGAUUAGGAAGAACACCAGUGGCGAAGGCGGUUCUCUGGACUGUAACUGACGCUGAGGCUCGAAAGCGUGGGGAGCAAACAGG